UACGGAGGGUGCAAGCGUUAUCCGGAUUCACUGGGUUUAAAGGGUGCGUAGGCGGGCAGUUAAGUCCGUGGUGAAAUCUCUGAGCUUAACUCAGAAACUGCCAUGGAUACUAUCUGUCUUGAAUAUUGUGGAGGUAAGCGGAAUAUGUCAUGUAGCGGUGAAAUGCUUAGAUAUGACAUAGAACAUCGAUUGCGAAGGCAGCUCGCUACACUAUGAUUGACACUGAGGCACGAAAGCGUGGGGAUCAAACAGG
rnacentral:rRNA from 1 species